GGGGAGACUUGAUCCCUUUUUCUUAAUUUGCCUGUAACAUUAAGAAAAAACACAGAACUAGAUCCAUUUUUCGUACAGAAUGGCAGGUAAACAUCUAUUGCAAGUUUGUACACAACAGAAGGACUUUAAAUUAUUGUUAAAGUUUUCAAAACUGUGUUUUUAUGGAGGCAUGUCUUAUGAUGUAUUUUUCAAAAAUGGGUCACAAUUGAUCCCCUUUUGAGCACAUGUUUAAUUUAAAGGGAAAAUAACUCCAGAAGCUUCCUGUUCAUUUUCUUUUCAAGUUUUCUUACAUUUUUGAUGAAUAUGGUGUAUUUGAAAUUAUAAGAUUUCCUUAAAUUGUUAAGAAUAUGCCGUAUUUUGAAAAUGGGGAGACUUGAUCCCCCUUUCAAUGGUGUGUAAUAAAAUAAUAAUUAUC